rnacentral:lncRNA from 1 species
AAUCUACACAUAUUUCCUUUGUUUUGUCGAACUGUUUGGUGUGUACCUCCUGCCAUAUUAGUCUUUGUUGUUUCUUUAUAUAGAAUGAGAAAUAAUUUAUGUUCGGACGAGCAUAGCGAGGUAGAACAUAAUUAUAUUUCUUUUCGUUUUGAGAUUUCUUCCUAUUUCUGUCGCGGAAUACUGAGUAAUUCGGUUUUCGGACUUUAUAUACUGUUUUACGCGCCCUUUUCAUUUCAUCGAGAUUUCACACACCAAACUUGUUCGACAACUUUACUACAUUUAGAUUGUAAUAUUAUGCUUUGUAUAAAUCCUAAUUCUUUGUAUUUUGUUUUGUAGAUAUUAGUAUGAGCACAGUUGAGAUGAUUAUAUAGAUAAUAUAAUGACGCAUGAUGUAUGGACUUUAAUAUUCGAUUGCACGGUA